rnacentral:rRNA from 1 species
UACGUAGGGUGCAAGCGUUGUCCGGAAUUAUUGGGCGUAAAGAGCUCGUAGGCGGUUUGUCGCGUCUGCUGUGAAAACGCGAGGCUCAACCUCGCGCCUGCAGUGGGUACGGGCAGACUAGAGUGUGGUAGGGGAGACUGGAAUUCCUGGUGUAGCGGUGAAAUGCGCAGAUAUCAGGAGGAACACCGAUGGCGAAGGCAGGUCUCUGGGCCACUACUGACGCUGAGGUGCGAAAGCGUGGGGAGCAAACAGG